rnacentral:rRNA from 1 species
UACGUAGGGGGCGAGCGUUGUCCGGAGUUACUGGGCGUAAAGGGCAUGCAGGCGGUCGGACGCGUUUUUGUGUGACAGCGGGUGGCUUAACUACCCGAGCAUGCGAAAGACGGUUGGACUUGAGGGCUCGAGAGGGACACGGAAUCCGGGUGGAGUGGUGAAAUGCGUAGAGAUCCGGAGGAACACCGGUGGCGAAGGCGGCUUCCUGGACCGACACUGACGCUGAGGCGCGAAAGCUAGGGGAGCAAACGGG